GAACGCGAAGAACCUUACCUAGGCUUGAAAGGCAAGUGACAGGGUAUGAAAGUACCCCUCCAGCAAUGGCACUUGUACAGGUGCUGCAUGGCUGUCGUCAGCUCGUGCCGUGAGUUGUUGGGUUAAGUCCCGCAACGAGACGCAACCCCUACUAUUAGUUCCACCAGGUUAUGCUGAGCACUCUAAUAGGACUGCCUACCCAAGUAGUGAGGAAUGUGGGGAUGACGUCAAGUCCGCAUGGCCCUUACGCCGAGCGCUACACCACGUGCUACAAUGGGUGUUACAAUGGGUUGCCAAACCGCAAGGUGGAGCCAAUCCUUUAAAGCAUCCUCUGUUCGGAUUGGAGUCUGAAACUCGACUCUA
rnacentral:rRNA from 1 species